UACGAAGGGGGCGAGCGUUGUUCGGAUUUACUGGGCGUAAAGGGCGCGCAGGCGGCUCAUUUUGUCAGGCGUGAAAGCCCCGGGCUUAACCUGGGAACUGCGUUUGAUACGGAUGGGCUAGAGUUCGGGAGAGGAGAGUGGAAUUCCCAGUGUAGAGGUGAAAUUCGUAGAUAUUGGGAAGAACACCGGUGGCGAAGGCGGCGACCUGGUCCUUUACUGACGCUGAGGCGCGAAAGCGUGGGGAGCAAACAGG
rnacentral:rRNA from 1 species